rnacentral:misc_RNA from 1 species
ACCUACUGUUUAAUUUUGAGAGUUCGUUUUUACGAAUACUCAAAAUUAGCACUUUUAGCAACAGAAUAAACUGAACGCAUGUGAAGUUUGUUUGUUGGCGCUGUGCGUUAGCACUUUAAGCAACGGAAUUUAUUCGUUGGCGCCGUGCUUUAGCACUUUGAAAACUGCAUAUAUAUUUAGUGAUAUGACAUCUAAUUUGUAAUAUAUAAAGCUGAUAACUUUUUAAAAUUAUCGAAGUUGAUAGCUUCUAAUCUAUCAAACCUUUUUAACUGGUCAA